GAGAACGCUGGCGGCAGGCUUAACACAUGCAAGUCGAACGGUAACAGAAGAAAGCUUGCUUUCUUGCUGACGAGUGGCGGACGGGUGAGUAAUGCUUGGGAAUCUGCCCUUUAGUUGGGGACAACAUAUGGAAACGUAUGCUAAUACCGAAUGUGAUCUACGGAUUAAAGGUGCCCUCUCCUUGGAAGGUAUCGCUAAAGGAUGAGCCCAAGUUAGAUUAGCUAGUUGGUAGGGUAAAGGCCUACCAAGGCGACGAUCUAUAGCUGGUUUGAGAGGAUGAUCAGCCACACUGGGACUGAGACACGGCCCAGACUCCUACGGGAGGCAGCAGUGGGGAAUAUUGCACAAUGAGGGAAACCUUGAUGCAGCCAUGCCGCGUGUGUGAAGAAGGCCCGAGGGUUGUAAAGCACUUUCAAUUGUGAGGAAAGCUAAGUAGCUAAUAACUGCUUAGUGUGACGUUAGCAUUAGAAGAAGCACCGGCUAACUCUGUGCCAGCAGCCGCGGUAAUUCAAGCCGAAUUCCAC
rnacentral:rRNA from 1 species